rnacentral:rRNA from 1 species
CGUCGAGCGGACAGAAGGGAGCUUGCUCCCGGAUGUUAGCGGCGGACGGGUGAGUAACACGUGGGUAACCUGCCUGUAAGACUGGGAUAACUCCGGGAAACCGGAGCUAAUACCGGAUAGUUCCUUGAACCGCAUGGUUCAAGGAUGAAAGACGGUUUCGGCUGUCACUUACAGAUGGACCCGCGGCGCAUUAGCUAGUUGGUGAGGUAACGGCUCACCAAGGCGACGAUGCGUAGCCGACCUGAGAGGGUGAUCGGCCACACUGGGACUGAGACACGGCCCAGACUCCUACGGGAGGCAGCAGUAGGGAAUCUUCCGCAAUGGACGAAAGUCUGACGGAGCAACGCCGCGUGAGUGAUGAAGGUUUUCGGAUCGUAAAGCUCUGUUGUUAGGGAAGAACAAGUGCAAGAGUAACUGCUUGCACCUUGACGGUACCUAACCAGAAAGCCACGGCUAACUACGUGCCAGCAGCCGCGGUAAUACGUAGGUGGCAAGCGUUGUCCGGAAUUAUUGGGCGUAAAGGGCUCGCAGGCGGUUUCUUAAGUCUGAUGUGAAAGCCCCCGGCUCAACCGGGGAGGGUCAUUGGAAACUGGGAAACUUGAGUGCGAAGAGGAAGUGGAAUUCCACGUGAGCGGUGAAAUGCGUAGAGAUGUGGAGGAACACCAUGGCGAAGGCGACUCUCUGGUCUGUAACUGACGCUGAGAGCGAAAGCGUGGGGAGCGAACAG